rnacentral:rRNA from 1 species
AGAUCGAACGCUAGCGGGAUGCUUUACACAUGCAAGUCGAACGGCAGCGCGGACUUCGGUCUGGCGGCGAGUGGCGAACGGGUGAGUAAUAUAUCGGAACGUGCCCAGUAGCGGGGGAUAACUACGCGAAAGCGUGACUAAUACCGCAUACGCCCUACGGGGGAAAGGGGGGGAUCGCAAGACCUCUCACUAUUGGAGCGGCCGAUAUCAGAUUAGCUAGUUGGUGAGGUAAAGGCUCACCAAGGCGACGAUCUGUAGCUGGUUUGAGAGGACGACCAGCCACACUGGGACUGAGACACGGCCCAGACUCCUACGGGAGGCAGCAGGUGGGGAAUUUGGACAAGUCGGGGGAAACCUGAUACCAGCCAUCCCGCGUGUGCGAGUGAAGGUCGUUUACGGGUUAGUAAGUCUACGUUUUGGACGAGGUAAGAAACGGUACGUACCCGUUAAGUACGGG